rnacentral:rRNA from 1 species
GACAGAGGUCCCGAGCGUUAGGCGGAAUCACUGGGCUUAAAGCGUGUGUAGGCGGAUGCCUAAGUACCUUGUGAAAUCCCACGGCUCACCCGUGGAACUGCUUGGUAUACUGGGUGUCUUGAGCCACUUAGGGGCUACCGGAACAAAUGGUGGAGCGGUGAAAUGCGUAGAUAUCAUUUGGAACGCCAAUGGUGAAAACAGGUAGCUGGGAGUGUGCUGACGCUGAGACACGAAAGCCAGGGGGGCAAACGGG